rnacentral:rRNA from 1 species
UGAGGAAUAUUGGACAAUGGAUGGAAAUCUGAUCCAGCCAUGCCGCGUGCAGGAAGACGGCCCUAUGGGUUGUAAACUGCUUUUGUAUGGGAGCAAUAAGGGCUACGUGUAGUCCGAUGAGAGUACCAUACGAAUAAGCACCGGCUAACUCCGUGCCAGCAGCCGCGGUAAUACGGAGGGUGCAAGCGUUAUCCGGAUUUAUUGGGUUUAAAGGGUGCGUAGGCGGUUUGAUAAGUCAGCGGUGAAAUAUUUCAGCUUAACUGGAAGGGUGCCGUUGAUACUGUCGAGCUUGAAUUUAGUUGCUGUGGGUGGAAUGUGUGGUGUAGCGGUGAAAUGCAUAGAUAUCACACAGAAUAUCGAUUGCGAAGGCAGCUCACAAAGCUAAUAUUGACGCUGAUGCACGAAAGUGUGGGGAUCAAACA